UCGCUACAUCACGAGCGACCAACUGGUCCGGCAACCGGGAAUCCACGGUGCCAAGUCACUUCGGUGACGAUGUGGCCCCGCAAGGGGCAACGGACCCGUGACUC
rnacentral:ncRNA from 10 species